GCAGGAGAAGCAAAAGGAGGAAUUGUUUGCGAGUUCAGUCAUCCAAAAAAGCUUCUUCCAUAUGGAGGGACCGGGUGCGCUGGGCGCGCCGUGCCCUGCCUCGUCCUCCCGCUGCCUCCGCCGCCGCCGCCGCGGCGCCCGCUUCCUGCCGCAGGGACCCUGAGCCCCGGGGCCGCGGUGUCAGCCGCCGCGCGCGCACACGCGCGCUCACACACGCGCACUCACCCGCCGCAGCCACGCGCGCCCGCACGCGCCCUCCCUCCUCGGCCGGCAACUUCUCGGCCGGCAGCUCCUUUGUUGCGCCCGCUGCAGCCGCUCUCCCUCCCGGGUGGCGCGUCCCCGGUGUCACCGUGCGUGUCGCGUGUCCGCGCCGCGCGGGGCUGGGUGGCUCUCUCCGCGCCCACCAGGCUGGCCCCCCGGGCCCGGGCUGGUCUUGCCCGGGCGCGGGCUGCACCAGAGGUGAGUCACGUCGCUGAAGUUUGUUUUCUUUUCAUAAAAAGUUGUGUUUAUUUGUUGGUUUGGGGAAGGGCAAGAGAGGCCGGCAGCCGCAGGCCGGGCGAAGCCGAGCGGCGGCUGCAGGACGCGCGGCGGCGGGCGCGGGUCGGAGCGCUCGGCCGGCCGGCUCGGGCUCGGCGGCUGCGGCCGAGGCGGGGUUGCCGCGUCUCGUUCCGUGGCCGUGCGGCGUGGCGGGGCCCUGGUUGUCCAACACCCCCCGGCCCUCGCUUCCAGAGCGGUUCCCGGCAGCUUCUGGGGUGGAAGAAGGGCUCGGGCAGCCUCCCCAACUUCUCCCAAAGGUUGACACUGGCGCCCCGGCUCCUCGCAGCCACGGGCGUCGGCAAACAGAGAACCACUGGAAGAGCCUGUGGCCUCUUCGGGGCUACGGGGUCACCAGGGUUGGUGUUUUAUUGUAAAGCAAACGGUCCGAUGAGGGACCGCGCGCACCGGGCGCUCAGCAACGCAUCGCUAGUUGGAGGGGCAGAGGGGCGAGGCCGAAGUGGAGCGUCCGGAGGUGUGAGUGGGGCUGGGGCAGCGGCUAGAGAGACGCGCGCGGGCGUGAGUGUGAGCGAGCCUGAGCUUCCUGCUGCGCUCCUGGACUUUCCCUGUAACUGUGAGAAGCCGGGGCAGUGCAGCCGGGACAAGUGGGAUGGGGCUGUGGCGCGGGCCAGCGACCCAGGGAGAAUUUGCUUGCAGGGUUUCUGA
rnacentral:lncRNA from 1 species